UCAAGCCGUUGCAUAUUUUGUGGCUUUGGUAAUUUUGCCUAUACACAAUUAACAUUCUGAAAAUGGCAUCCUUAAAUUAUUGUAACUGUAAUACAUUUUUCUUAUAGAAAUGUACUUUCAAAUCUUAGGUAUUACAGUAUAAUAAGAUAGAUUCCAAAUCUAAAGACCUCUACAUGAAUAAAGUGGUAAGUAUGCAGUGCUCUUUCAUAGAUGAACCCAUAAAGGAGAGCUUUAGACCCAAUGGUUAUACUAAGAAAAACUAAUAAAUUCAUCAAAACCAAAUACUAGCAUGAUGAUCUCAACCUUGAAACAGGGAAAACUCAAAUGUUCGAGUCCAAAGAAAUGCAAACACUGACUUUCUCAGUUUCUUGUGGCAGUGAACUUUGUUUGAUUCUAUUCUUCAGACAACUAGACAUCCCAUGAAGAUGCCUUGCCUGUCUUCCUUUGUAAUUCUACUUGGCCUUUCUUGUUCUUUACUUUAAAAUAUUUAUAUCGUAGUGUGGUAAAAAUUAUUAUUUGUUGAGUGCCCACUAUCUUUUACCAUUGGUCUUUGAUGCUUAAUAAUUUAAUCUGCACAGUAACUCUAUGAGGGAAUUAUUGCUAGUCCUGUAUUACACACAAGAAAAUGGAGGGUUAGAGAUGUUGAAUAUCACCAAGGAGCCAAAGUUCAGAUUUUGGUUUGGAGGAAGUAAGUGCCACAAAUUAGAUUCCUGAAAGCAAACUAUUGCUGGAAAGAAAUAAACUACAAAAUAAUGUACUAGUAAGUAUUUUUAGUCUAAUUUUUGUUUCUGUUUUUUUUUGAUAUUCUAGAGAACUGUAAAUUAAAGAUGGCAAAAUAAGUCCUAAAUAGAAAUUAAACCUGCACUGAGGCUACUGUUCUUAUAUUUUCUGUUAAUGCUGAUGAAAUCUAACUUUGGAAAUAAGAGUCAGAACUGUAAAAUUACUGAAAGGUUAAAAAUCCUUUCUGGUGAUGCCAGUAGUCAUUUAAAAUAAGUAUUUCAUAUUACUUCAAUAAUGUUUUAAUGACUCUACCAUUCUAUCAUUUUGUAAAGUUUACUACCAUUUGCUUUCCAUUAGAAAAUCACUUUAAAUUAAGGGCCCUGUUAAGAUGGAAAGUCCAUAGGCUGUAAGAAGUUAAUAAAUGAGAGAAUAUUCUUUUGAAUUUCACCAAGGAUCUGUAUGUGUUGAUUAAAGUAUAAACUCUCAACUUAAAAAUUGUUUUUCUAUCCUCUUCCAUAGCACAGCUAUUACCAGAGUAGAGAACAUACUCUUUUAGCAUCUUCCAAGGCACUUAUGUCUCCUGAAGUGUGUCCAGUAAUAGAAGGUAUUUUACUUCUACUUGAAGUUAGAGCAAAAGCUGCUCAAGCCAAGAUGAAUUAAGCUACCUGCCAGCCAUAUUCAAAGGAAACAGAGAGGCAACAAGCCUCUGUGGUAAAGUUCAGGUGAACUCCCGCUGCCUGGAACAUGGUAGCUUAUAAACUGUUGUGUUAAGUGUUAAAUUUCUACCCUAUUACUCCAAACAAAUGGCAUUAUUGCCAAAAGAAGGCCCAGAAUGCCAAAAUAAAGUGGUGCAGUGGAAAAUUCAACAAGUAAUGAGUGUUAAGAUUAAUCAUCAAGGAAAUGAAUAGCCUUGGCUUUACGCUUGGGAGUUUAAGAAGACAGACAGCAUUUUUGAGGCACAGCAUUUUGAGCAGACAGCACAUUGCCCUUUCUUUGUAGGAGUAUUGUGAAAUAGAAAGAAAACUAGAUUGUAGUGCAAAGAUCUGAGCUUUAAAAGGGAAGAGUGAGUCUCUCACGUUUGAUCUCAUUAAAUCCUCACAACACGGGCUCAAAGAUGUUAAAAGAUUUGUCCUAGGUCAGAGCUAGAAAGCAACAGAAAUAGAACUUAGCUAUAGGUUCAUCUAACCCUGGAGCUGGUCUUCUGGUCACCCUUACUAUUUAAAGAAGAUUAUAAUCAUGUUCAAUACAAUCACUUUUCUUGAGGUGUCAUCUUAGUAUCACCUGCUUCAGAAUCAUUUGGAAAUCCCCAUCCUGUUCCAGGCCUGGCAAUCUAGCCAGUCCAUAGAUGUGCAUUAUUACACACAUUAAAAUUUGACAGCUGCUGCUCAAAAAGAGGUUAUGGAAGACUGUGGAAAAGCACACAUCAAAAACAGUACUCUCACAAUUUCAUAUUUUAAAGUUAUUCAAAAUUAAGUUUAACACAGGUAUUCUCUGAGAACAAGAAGCUAUUUGAAAAUAAAGAAUACAACUCUGUAAGGGAGGCCUGACAAAAUAUUUGAUCUUCACUGGAAAAUAAAGCAGGCUGGCCAAAAGUAGGACAAAUAAUUUCUUGCUCCAGGUCAACACAAUUCUUGUAUUUUAUUCUAGAGCCUGAAAGACUGUCAAAAGCAAUCACAUUUUUCACACUUUGGGGUGUAUAUACCUAUUUGGAUUUUGUUUCAUAGCUGGCUGAUAACAAGGAAAAGCAAAUGAAAUCAUGGAAUGAAGGAAAUCAUCCAGGCUUUUGAGAACUACAUUCCUCGGAUUAUUUACUGAGUACAUGGCCCUGGACUGAUUAAACGUUUGUGGUCCAAAGUUUUAUAUCUUUAAAAUUAAAUGGUAAUGAUAAUAAUCUUAAGACUACUUUGUUUUGUUGCCAUGAGGGUAUAUAUAAGACAUGUGAAGCAUAUAACACAUCCUGAUACAAAGAAAAUAGUGAAUUGAUGGUAACCUAUAUUAUUAUUAUUAUAAGUGUCAUUCAUUAGAGAUAGAACAUAGAAUAGAAAUGUGUUCAUUGCAUGUGUGAUAUUUAAGGGAAUCUGCUUUGUAAGCCAUUAAGUAGAGAUAUAUAUCUCUUCUUGAGCAUUCUUCAGAGGAAGCGAAUACAUUCUAUAAAUAAUUCUAUUCUUCAUAUGUCUUGAAACAUUACUAAGCGUUUUGAAAUAGUAACUUAAUAUUAUUGACUUUUUUCUUAGAUUUUAGUUAAGAACUACUUCAUCUUUCUGAUACCUAUCAAGGACAAAAAGCUGACCAUGCUCCAUUGCUACAGUUUUAGCAGGCUCUUCAUAUCUGAAUAUCCUUUUGGAUGGAAUAAUUAUUGCUGGGAGUAUAAUCACAAAAAUCAGGACCUCUCCAACAUGCUUCCCCUGUCAGUGGAUACUGGGAAUCAAGUACUUACAGGAGGAGAGUUAAAAAAAUGUUUGGCUUCGUGAGCUUGUUACCCAUAGCUCCAUUCAUAGACAAGUAUCCCAGCAAUACCUAAAUAUUUGAUUCCUUCAGGGCCACUUCACCAGCUGAAAAUUGUGGCCAUUGUUGCCUCUGCCCAGGGUUCGUUUGGGGACUGCUGGGCUCCUCUGCCUGCUUGGCCCAGCGGGCUGCAUUUGGCUCACAGCCCAGCCCAAACCCCAUGCCUGCCAUAACUCCAUGCUCAGCCCACAGCCGGACCAAGCAUGCCAUAAGCAACUUCCUUGUUGGGCACUGGCGUCUAGAUGAAGGGAAUGUGGCAGCACCCAAAAACUCAGAGAUGCCAGCGAUCGUGGAGCCCGAAGUAAUGUUAACAGCUCUUGCUUGGGGAAUCUCGAGGUUCUGGGUUCUUGUCCUGAGAUCAAGAGGAAUGAAGUGGGUGGACACGAGAGAGUGAGUAAGGCCAAGAAGAAUUUGUUAAGCCACCAAAGGAGAGCUCUCAGCUGUGAGAGAGGAUGUAAGAGCAGGUAACCAUCUGUCAGGCUGAGUUCAGCGUUUUUAUGGGCUUACAAGGGGGAAAUGCAUGCUGACUGAUUCAUGGGUGGGCUUUGGAAAAAUCACCAUUCAGUUGGUUAAAAGGCAUCAUCCCGAAGGAACUGAUAGAGAGAUGGUAAGAUGGGGAUAGAAGUUCUCACUUCAGUUGUGGACUCUAUCCAGAACCGGCAGCUCAGGUUUCAGGCUUUAAACUGGCUUCGGGUUGAAGAUUGGGUUUUGCCAGGGGCCUAUCCCUGUUUGCCUAGGAAUUUAUCUGUCUUCUGUCACUAUCAAUAUGACCUUUUGAUUCUAGCCACUUAGUAGGUGUGAAGUAGUAUCACGUUGUAGUUUUGAAUUGUAUAUUUCUGAUGAGUAAUGUUCUCAAGCAUCUUUACAUACACUUAUUGGCCAUUUGUAUAUCUUCCUUGGAGAUGUGUCUAUUCAGACUAUUUGCCCAUGUUUUACAUUGGGUUGUCUUUUUAUUAUUGAGUUGCGAAAGUUUUUAUAGAUUAUAGAUACAAGUUAGUCCCUUAUCAGAUAUAUGAUUUACACAUACCUUUCUAGAUGGUGUUCUUGAAGCACAAAAGUUUUUUUGUGGCUCUCAACAAUAUUCUCUUAAAAAAAAUACACUCCAGUCUGGGGCCUGGUCACAGAGCAAGACUCAGUCUCAAAAAAACAAAACAAAAUAAAACAAACAAACAAAAUAACAAGGCUGGGCAUGGUGGCUCAUACCUGUAAUCCCAGCACUUUGGGAGGCUGAGGUGGAUGAAUCACCUGAGGUCGGGAGUUUGAGACUAGUCUGACCAACAUGGAAAACCGGUCUCUACUAAAAAUAUUAGAAAAAAGUUAGCCAGGCAGGGUGGUGCAUGCCUGUAAUCCCAGCCACUCAGGAGGCUAAGGCAGAAGAAUCACUUGAACCUGAGGUCGGAGGUUGCAGCAAGCUAAGGCCCCAUCAUUGCACUCCAACCUGGGCAACAAGAAUGAAACUGUCUCAAAAGAAAGAAAGAAAGAAAGAAUCACCCUUAUAAGGAGGAUGAAGCACAAAAGUUUCGCAUUAAGAAUCCAUUGUCAUAUCCAGGGUUAUAAAAGUGUGCCCAUUUGUUUUCUUCUUAAGCUACUGUUGUGAUAACUUUUACAUUUUGAUGUUAAAUCCAUUUUGAGUUAAUUUUUAUGGAUGUGUGAGGUAAGGAUCCAAUUUAAUUCUUUUCGCUGUAGCUAUCCAGUACCCUUUGUUGAAAACACUAUUCUUUUCCUGUUGGAUAAUCUUGGUAGCCUUGUCAAAAAUCAGUUGGUCAUAGAUGUAUGGGUUUAUUUUAGUACUGGCAGUUCUCUAUAUCUACCCUUGUGCCAGUACUAUGUUGUCUUAAUUACUGCUGCUUUGUAGUUAAUUUUUAAAAUCAAGAAGUGAGUCCUGCUUUGUUCUUCUCUUGCAAGUUUAUUUUGGCUAUUCUAAGUCCCCUUAAAUUUCAUACUAGUUUUAGAAUCAGUUCGUCAUCUUGCACAAAGAACUCAGGUAAUAAUUGUGUUGAACCACAAAGAUAUUCCGCAAGAAGAGCAACCCCAAGGCACAUAAUCGUCAGAUUCAACAAGGUUGAAAUAAAGGAGAAAAUACUAAGGGCAGCCAGAGAGAAACAUGGGGUCACCCACAAAGGGAAGCCCAUCAGACUCACAGCAGAUCUCUCAGAAGAAAUACUACAAGCCAGAAGAGAGUGGGGGCCAAUAUUCAACAUCCUUAAAGAAAAGAACUUUCAACCCAGAAUUUCAUUUCCAGCCAAACUGAGCUUCAUAAGUGAAGGAAAAAUAAAAUCCUUUGCCAACAAGCAAGUACACAGAGAGUUUGUCACCACGAGGCCUGCUUUACAAGAGCUCCUGAAGCAGGCACUACACAUAGAAAGGAACAACCAGUACCAGCUAUCCCAAAAUCACACUAAAUGCUAAAGAGCAUCAACAUAAUGAAGAAUCUAUAACAACUAACGGGCAAAACAGCCAGCUAGCAUCAAAAUGGCAGUAUCAAAUUCACACAUAACAAUAUUAACCCUAAAUGUAAAUGGACUAAAUGCACCAAUCAAAAGACACAGACUGGCAAAUUGGAUAAAAAUCCAAAACCCAUCAGUGUGCUGUAUCCAGGAAACCCAACUCACAUGCAAGGAUGCACAAAGGCUCAAAAUAAAGGGAUGGAGGAAGAUUUACCAAGCAAAUGGAGAGCAAAAAAAAGCAGGAGUUGCAAUUCUCAUCUCUGAUAAAAUAGACUUUAAAGCAACAAAGAUCAAAAGAGACA